UCUGGCUCUACUGAUAGGAGGGACAGAGAAGGGAUGGAACUGUUUGAGGAGGGAGGAGCUGUCCAUCAAGUCAGGCCUGGCCCUUUUCUGGAGGAACCAUCUGUGGCCUCCUCCAGCAGGGAUGACAGCGACUGAACAGGAGCAAAUUCCUGCACCUCGUCCCACUACCCCCGCCUCCUCCGACCUCCCCCAUCCCCCCGCAGCCCUGGCCCAGCAGGAGCGCAGCUGCAGUCAGUGCUUACUGGGAAGGGAGAGUGCAGAGACCAGGAUGAGUAAGGUGGGACCUGGAAUCAAGAGCAAGUUCACAGCCAGGAGGCCAGGCCAGGAGGUCAACAGAAACUGGGUCAGAAGGAAGAAUUUGGACUUUAUCCUGAGGUCAUCAGGGGCGGCUGGGAGUGGAGUAGGAGUGCAGGGUCAGUGGGCCCCUGGCACCUGUGCGUGGCUCCCUGUGUGCCCUAGCCCCCUAGCCCCGUGGGAAGGAAGAGGGGGCCUCUCUCCGCACUUCCUCUGCCCAUGCACGGCUCCCACGCUUGGAGCAUCCAGGUACGGGGCCUCUCUCCCCACUCACCUGUGGGUUCUCUGCCCCUCCCCAGAGGUCCUUCCGGUGUGGAGCUCUGAAUUCCCCCCACCUCCGCCCUAAGUGGGCAGGCGUCGGGGGGGAGG
rnacentral:lncRNA from 1 species